UACGUCCACAACAAACUGAGGCCUCAUGACUCGGAGCUGGAAGCCACUUCAUAUUUUACCAAGUAAACACAUCACUGCAGAGUCUUGGUCUGCGUUAGAUAUAGUCUGUGUGGCUCAUUUUUGAGUAUGUUGUCUCUAAUGUCUGUUCAGUCCUCUUGGGAAGUGCAUUUGAUAAUAAUAGUUUUUUGUGCUUUAAAUAUGAACAAGCAGAAGGAUGUUUAUUGUUUCAUUUGAAAUAUCUCAGAACAGUUUCAGUAGGUCUUUAUGCAUCUGUGGUAUUAUUCUGCUGCACUUGAUGCCCUUUGCAAUAAGACUGUUGUUAGGACAACUGAAUAAAUAAAACAUGGCGAGGUUCUACUCAUGUGCUUCCUGUUUCAGAAAAAUUAAAGAGAGCAUGGAGAGCUUCCCAGUCAAAAUAAACUUCCUCAUCCACAAUAUGGUGCAGUUUUCCUCCACCAAACAUUCAGAAGCGCCGGCUAAGAGCCAGAUCUCCUCCAACACCAACAUUCAGGAGGCCGUGAUCCAGAAAUACACCGUCAACGGCAAAGAUGUGACGUACGAGCUGAAGGUGACCAUCGAGGACGGAUUCCUGGUGGUUCAGAAGAGCUUUGCUCAGUUUGAGAUGCUUCAUAAGCUCCUGCAGAAGCACUUCAUCGAGUCCACGCUGCCGAGGUUCCCGAGCUGGUUUAACAUGUCCUUCACACCGGGCAGGAAGAUGUCUCUGCUGAACAAGUACCUGAAGGAGCUGUUUGAAGGACCCUGCAAAGGGGUGAGUGAGUGCCGCCUCUGUGCCGCUUCACAUGAGCUUCCCUCACACCUUGAUUCAUACGUCAUCGUGUCAUUGACAGAACGAAUACGUCUGCAGCCUGUUUCUGGACGGACCAAACGCUGCGGUCAAGUCAGGUAA
ensembl:lncRNA